UCAUGUGACAUCGAUCAUCCUUUUUUAUGAGUUCUUUUGAUAUUAUAAUUUUUACUGGAUAUAUAAAGCUCGGUAUGAGUAUGACCGUAUGUGUUAUGUGUAUUAUAAUUUCUACACUUUAUGAUAUGGCCACGCGAUUACACGAAUAUAGAAUAUAGAUUCAUUGUUUAGACCCAAUUUAAAUACACGGAAAGAGGAUAUACCGUAUGCUGCACCUCUCAUUGGAAAUUUGCGUGGACCUUACGUACCCCCAAAUUAAUAAUUAAAAAAAGUUGCAAAAUUUUCUAUUCUAUACUUACAAGUUCACUCAUUGAGUUUUAAUUAAUCCCUUCUUUUUUUUUAUAGAAUUUCUAUUGUCUGUUUAAUUUUAAACAAACAAUUAUAUAUAUAUUUAUAUUUUCACUUGAAAUGAAUUAACCCCUCCCACUCCUUCCAAAAGUAUAACUUGUAGGACAAACAUAUUAUUUAUUUAUUUUUUACCAGAAAAAAACAUUAUUUAUUUAAGAUAUAAUGAUGGGUAUGAUUUUGACCCUUUAAUUUACGUCGACAAUGUUCUCUAACUUUUUUUGUCUUCAUAUAUCUGCAUUAUUGUCCUUUGACACACCCCCUUUCAAUUAAAUACACACACGUGGCCUGCAGUUUGUGGUUCACAUAUUAACAUGUCUAUUCUUUCAAAAAAAAAAUUGAAAUCUUUGAUUCUUACAAAAUAUUGAUGAUUGGAAAAAUAGUCCAAAAUGCAAGGUGAGCAUAAUCGACAGAAAAUCACUGAUUCAACUGUUUUAAAUCAAAGCCAGCUGAUUUACAGUUUUAAACCUUCAAUUUUUUAUUUUAUUUUUUAUUUUAGAUGAGAGGUACAUCCCACAGAUAGACCCUCUCCCGAAUAUUCAAAUGCGCCAAAAUACAAUAGCCCAUAUUCAUAUAAGGUAACCAGAAAAAUGCAACUUAAUUUCACGUGACAUGUAGAUCGAACCUUAAAUAUAGAUUACAUCCCAAGACUUUUUCUUUAGUACUUGACCACAACCUUCUCAUUUUGAAAUGAGUGCAAAGCUAUUAUCAUUAUUUAUUACGUUAGUCAACGAAAAAUAGUUUCAGCAAAAAGAAAGAAAUUGAUACAGUUUAAAAAAAAACUGAUACAGUAAUAUAUUAAAAGGAAGAUAAAUAAACAUUUACAUGUCGGUGAGCUAAAUUUUCAAAAUGAAGUUAGUAAUAUGCAGAAAAAGAGUGCGGUUCAAAAAUGAACAUCACUCUAAAGAUGACUAUCUUUCUAAAGAUGACUAUCGUUUUUAAUGUAUGUUGUUGGUAGUUUGAUAGUUUCCAGUUGUGUUCAUAAUGAAUAGCAUACACAUAUACAAUUUGAGUGCAUUAACUCAAUAGUUUUCUGUGAAAAGUCAAAAGACUGGUAAUUGUUGUAAGUUGUGUACCAACGGACUAAACUUUACUCUAGUGCCACCUCUUUGUACGAUUUCUUGUAAGUUAAUUUAUUAUUAUACCUUGCGACAAUGUGAAUACCCCACUUUGUACGAUUUCUUGUACUCUACAAAUUUUAUGUCGUUCAAAAAAAAAGUACUCUACGCAUUUUCAUAUAUCUAAAAAUGGGCCCAGAUGCAUUGUUGUAAGCACUAAGAGCACGUCUAAUGGUUAGAGCUUUUGAUGGGUUCUAAUGAUUAGUUUAAUGGUUAAUUGUGUACUUUAUGAAAUUUAGAAUUCUUGUUAAUGUAAUUAGUUUUGUCAAAGUUCAAUGAGAGAACCCCUUUGAGAUUCUUAACUUUUUUUUUUCAGAAAUUGAACUAUUAAAUUUAAAUUUUACAAAACUUAUAAAUUAUUGGAUUUCAUAAAAUUUAAACAAAUAUGACAUAAGAACAUAUUAAAAAUACAAAUAAAAAUUUAUAAUUAAAAAUUUUAAACAACCAUGAAAAAAAAACAUGAGAAUAGGUUCAUAAUUCAUAUGCACAAUAUACAAAACACAUGAGACCCAAAGACAAUGCCGAACAACAACAAGGUUAACGUUGGUGAGACUUACUUGAUGAGAAUAGGUUCAUAUGUAGUAACUAAGACACCUGUUUCAACUCCCUUAAGAUGAAUAUUCGCCAGACGAAUAUUCGCCACAUAUACCUGCCAAAAGAAAUCAUCAUAUUAUUAGAACAUUUGAAUAAAAAAAGGAAACACCUUUAAGAACAGAACAAGGAGAUUAACCGAGUCCCUCAAUAGGUUUUAUGCUUCUCUUCCCUGUCUUCCUUUGGAUAUAGCCUGCAACCAUUGUUGUUAGACAAUAGAGAACAAAGAGGUAACAAAAGAUGGGAGUGAGUGAAUGAAAUUACCAGCUCUCCUAUAGCAGUUGAGGCAACGGAAGGGAUGUUUCUAUAAGACAAACCAGGCACAUCAAUGACAUUUGAUUGCUCCACAAGCUUUAUGUACAACUCCACAAGCUUUAUGUCUUCGCUCCACCUGCAAAAACAUAACAUGGCUCACAUGUUACAUGUUUAUGUAAACCAAUCAAAGGUAACACAAAAACAGAACAUGGCAUAGAGGAUUAACAUUUUUCGAUCAUGGCAUAGAGAUUUGAAUCUAAGACAAAAAGAGAAACCAAAUCUAACACACAAAGAGAAACCAAAUGAUACGACCACGAAGAGACUAGCAACACACAGAUUAUUGGUUCCGUAGUUGUUUCAGCAAGAAUCAUUUUAAGAACAGAGAUAAAUUAUAGGAUUUAACAACAAUAAACCAACAAAACCAAGUAUUUCCAGUGUCAAUCAAAAUCAAAGAAGCAAUUCAACUGAGAAA